CCGAGUUAGGGUACUCUGCGUGCCCGACCUCCAACCCUUUGUCUACCUGACCAGAUGUUGCUUCGGCAGGCCCGCCACCCCGCAAGGGGUAGCCGCCGGGGGCCCUUGCCGGCCCCGGGUCCGCGCCUGUCGAUGGCCCUCUAUAAACUCUUGCUUAAACCGUGUCGUCUGAGUAAAACAAACAAAUAAAUUAC
rnacentral:misc_RNA from 1 species